rnacentral:rRNA from 1 species
CCCGUAACUUUGGGAUAAGGGGGACCUGAGCUGUCGUGCACCCGUGCGGUGUGGUGGCGGUGAGGGGCGCAGAGUCCAGGGGGAAACGACUGUUUACCAAAAACACAGGUCCGUGCGAAGUCGUAAGACGAUGUAUACGGACUGACUCCUGCCCGGUGCUGGAAGGUUAAGGGGAACUGUGAGUGCAUGCGUAGCGGUGAACUUAAGCCCCAGUAAACGGCGGUGGUAACUAUAAC